CGCGCGUGUCCGAGUGUGCGCGUGCGCCGGGCGCGGAUGGAGCCCGGUUGGCUCCAGAAAGCAUUGUGCGCGCGCCCGGGAGAGAGGCCACGUGUGUUCAUGCCUGGUUUUGUUGCAGGUGGGCCUGGUGGGUGUGGAGCCAUGGAGACAAUGCCUACUUCAGCCACCACCACAGUGAAGGACAGCUGGGCCUCUGCAUCAGGGCAGAGGUCAAGGCAGCACUUCGCACCAGCAUGACUAAGUCCUAGAGAAUGAACCUGGAGCCCAGACAAACACUUUACUACGGAACCACACUGCCAUCCCCUGCACUGUAUUUUUAGAGCAGUUUUAGACUCACAGCAAAACUGAACAGAAUACGUGGUUCCCAUAUGGCCUCUGUGCUCCCUGACCAAUCACAGCCCUCCAGCAUCACAUGUUAGAGUGGCAUGUGUGUUAAGAUCAGUGACCCAAUUAGCACAUCACUGCCGCCCAGAGGUCACAGCUUACCCUGGGACUUAGCUGGUACUGUCCUCUGUGGGUUUGGACACAGCCACCCCUAUGACAUCACACAGUAAUUUCACUAAACUGUCCACUGGCCUAAAUUCCCUCUGGCCUGUCAGUUCUUCUCCCCACCUCCUGGAAACCACCAGCCACCCUACUGCCUCCAUAAUUUUUAUUUUACCAGGAUGUUAUUGUUGGAAUCAUGUGGUAUGAAGGCUUUUCAGAUUGACUUCUGGUUAGCAUAGGUAUUUAAAGUUCCUUAAUGUUUUUUCAUUGCUUGACUGCUCAUUCCAUUUUCAGUGCAGAAUAAUAUUCCAUUUCCUAGAUCCACCAGUUUAUGCAUUCCCCUGCUGAAAGACACUUUGGUAUUUCCAAGUUUCAACAAUAAUCAGUAAAGCUGCUAUAAAUGCCAUGUGCAAGUUUUUGUGUGGACAUGCGUUUUCAAUCAUCUGGGUAAACACCAACAAGCACAGUUGCUGGAUGAUAUGGUGAAAGUCUGUACAGGUCUGUCAGAAACUCUGCACCUCUUCCAC